ACCUUAAUUACGGGUGAAUAAGAAUAUGUUUGAGAAACGGGUCAUAAGUUUGAGCCCAGUUGGUGGAAGGAAUCAAAAAGGUGAAGUGAGUGCUGAUGAAAUAGGGAAGAAUUAGUAGAGAAAUUGGUGAUGGAAAGGAAGAUGAAGGUCCGUUCCGAAAGGGAAAGGACGAAAGUGGUGAUUAGGCAUUUGCCCCCUUCUCUCACUCAAUCUGAUCUCUUCCAACACAUCGAUUCCCGCUUCUCUUCUCGCUACAAUUGGUUCUCUUUCCGUCCCGGCAACAACAGUCACAAGCGUCAGAGGCAUUCCCGAGCGUAUAUAGACUUCAAGUGUCCCCAAGAUGUAUUCGAGUUCGCUGAGUUCUUUGACGGACACGUUUUCGUUAACGAGAGAGGUGCACAGCAUAAAGCGAUUGUUGAGUACGCGCCUUCUCAGCGUGUUCCCAAGCCGAGUGCCAAAAAGGAUGGACGUGAAGGGACUAUAUACAAAGAUCCAGAUUAUCUUGAGUUCCUCAAACUCAUUGCGAAGCCGCACGAGCAUCUUCCUAGUGCAGAAAUACAGUUGGAAAGAAAAGAAGCUGAGCAAGCUGGGGCUAACAAGGACGCACCUAUUGUCACACCCUUGAUGGAAUAUGUUCGCCAGAAACGUGCUGUUGACAGUGGUAUGCAGGCUUCAUUGGCUGUGGCAAAAAUUAGCAGAAGAGCAAGAGCUGCUUUGCCAGGCAAGCCUGGCACAGGCAAUUCUAAACGAGGAUCUGAAAAGAAGAAGUAUGUUCAGAAGGACAAUGCCAAGAGUGCCAAUCGGAAGGAGUCAAAAGACAAGUCAGCCUUUAUUGUGGUCCCCCGGCGAGAGGAUCAAUCAGCUACAUCAAGUAUUAAAGGAAUUUCAGAAAUUGAAACUUUACAUGGCAUUGAAGGUCCCAUUUCUGGAAUUCCACUGACUUCUGACUCAGGAAAGAAAAAAUUCCUUCUUCUGAAAGGAAAACAACGAGAAAUUCCUAGUGCUGCUGAUAGUUUGGUAAAACAGCAAAAUGUACAAUCUGGAAACACUCCCAUUUCUGCAAAACAGAACCAGAGGCGUGAAGCUAGUGGAAGAUUGAUUAGGAGCAUACUUUUAAAUAAUGAAGCUCGUCAAAGUCAGUCUACAACUGGUACACAACAUAAAAUUCAAAUCUUAACUUCUGAGAAUGGGAAGCGGCCACCUCGUCCCUUUGGCUCAAGGUCCGGCUUAAAUGAUCAAGUCUCUGGUCAUGAUGCUGGUCAAGUCAAUUCUGAAGGGGAUUCUAAAAGGUCUUCGGAUGACAAGUUUGUAAAAAAGGAUCUGCAUGGUUCAGGUAAUGUAGGUGACAAAACAGAAAAACGUACUCGAAACAAGGAUAGACCUGAUCGCGGUGUUUGGACCCCUCUUCGUCGUUCUGAUGUUUCACAAACUGGUAAUGAGCACUCAUCAUCUUCAUUGACUCAGCCUACGCUUUCAAAUCCUGAUUCUGCUGAAGUUUCGGCAGGAGAAGCAAAAGAAAGUGUUUCUUCUGCAAACAGGAGCGGGGAAUUCCCUGCUUCUGCAGGUGGACGAGUCAGUUCCUCUGUAGAAAAUGGUUCUCAAAGAAAUUUUACUCGCCGUGGAUCUUCUUAUGUAGUGAAGGAUGAUGGUGCAGUCAGUUUGAAUGAAGGGAAACCUUCCAAGAAAGGUGGUGUUGGGCAUAGUGCUCAUGAGGUAUACAUGUCUGAUGGUGAUGUAUUUUGUCAUGCCUCUUUGCUUGAUUCAUUGUGUGUAAAAUGCUUAUUGUGUCCGCAGAAACAAGUCUGGGUUCAGAAAUCAUCUUCAGGUUCUUAAAUAUUUGUGGUAAGUCCUUGUUUAUUUGCUUUUGAUUUUAUUGUUUGAUGUCUCUUCUAACUGAGCUUCAGUGCUUAUCAUAUCAUUUUGGGAAUUAAUCACUCGUUCUGAUAAAAAGGUUGAUCUCUUUGAAAAUCUUCUGUGAAAUUGGUGUUUAGUUGUGAUAAGUUUGUGAUUGCUUUUGACUGCUAAUAAACCUAGUGUGUUUGACUUUUUGAUUAAGAUAUAGUUCCUGUGUGGGUAAACUUCUAAAGUUCUCCUGGAGAAAAAAUCAGUAUUAAAAAUAAAUAAAACUUAUCCCAUAAAUUAGAAACAACUUAUACUUCUGUAUUUUAUGAGAAGUUCUGGUAAGCUCUCUCAUUUAGCUUAUUUAAAAUUUGAAGAGAGAAGCUGUUUUUAACUUAUAGAAGUUUUAUUCAUUAUUUAUACUAUUUUUUUCCUUCUAUAAUGAUUUCUCUAGAAGUUCACCCAAACAUGGCCAUAGUUUUUGAAAAUAUAUAUAUCAGUGGCAAGUUCUUCCAUUAGUCCUAAUUUAUUUUAAAAAACAGGAGAAAAGAUAGGAAAAGCCAUGGUGGUGAAAAUUACACCAUAGUCAUUACACUACCAGGUUCCAGCCUUUGCUUUGCAAUUUACAUCAUUAACAAUUUUUCCUUAUUCCAAUAUUAAUGAGCGAAAAACAUUUUGUUGUCUUCCCCUUAGGUAUAAUUUCAAUUGAUAUUGAUUUUUCCAAGAUCUAUUUUAUUUCUAAAUAUCUUGCAUUUAAUUGUCGCAAGAGAGUCUAAUGAUUUCUUUGAUGUGAUUAUAUUAUCAAAUUCCACAUGUUCAAUGAUUUGGAUUAUGGAACUGAAUUAGUAUUCGAUGGUAGCAUCAAUAAAUGUAUAAUUAAUUGCUUACAGAAAAAUAGGAAUUGUAUAUUUGUCCAUCAUUAAUUGGUUAUGGUCUUAUAAUUGUUCAGAUGUUACAUAUGAUAAUGAUUUUGCCAAGCAUAACCCUUAGGAAACUUGUCAGUUUUGAAGUUUUUAUUGGAAAUCAUGACAUAAUGCAUUAAGGGUCGGUUUGGUGAAUAUGAAAUGAUAGAAAAUAAGAUGAGAGUUAUAUAAAAAGAACCUUGAACGAAGUUAUUUAGAGACAUUUUGAUUAACUAGAUUUUUGAAAAUUUAAUUUUUUACUUAGGUCAUGUGAUUCAUGUAGCUGACUUCAUCUAGUUAGCUAAGGCUUGAUUGUUGUUGUUGUUGUUGUUAUGUUUGAUGCACAUUAGGAUAGUAAAUUAAAUAAUACUGUCAUCCUAUCCAACAUUAGAGAUAAAUAAAAAGUAAUAUAACGAUAUAAAAUAUAUUUAAAUGACAAAAUUACUGUUUUAUCAAAAUUAAUAUGAUUUUUUAAAAUAAAAUUUAAAAUGUGUACAAUUAAUAUUAAAUUUUGAUAUUAAAUUAUAAAAAUUUUCUUAAAAAGUGCUGCAGUCAAAAUAUAAAUUUGUGGUAAAUUAUAAUUUAAAAAAUGAAUUAUAAAAAAAUUAAAACUAUAUUUUAUACAAUGAAUAAAAUAUAUUUUAUAAAAGUACAUUUUUCAAUAAAAAUCUUUUGUGAAAAAAUAUUUUUGAAAGCAUUUUUUAUUAUAAAUAGUGUUCAUAUAAUUUUUUUAUAAAAUAUUAUUGAGGUAUGAGUAAGGCAGAAAAGAAAAAGUUAUCUUGUCCUGUUAAUUUUUUACUUAUCACUCUUCUCAAAGUCAGAAUUUAAACUAUUAGAAUAGGAUAGGAUCACUCAACAGUAUAAGUUCGGCUCAACAAACACUGAAAAUAUAAUAGAGUAGGAUAAACUAUCCUAUCAUGAUCUCUUAUUCCAACUACAACUGUUAUCCUUUUCACUUUUCACUUUGAUUUGGCAAUGGUUAGCAAAACUGAUAUAAUAAUCACAUCAAACUGUAAUAAUUAUUUUACAUGUUGAAGUCUAAUGAAUGUUUGAUGGAUUAUUAACAUUCACAAAUAAGUGAUCAGAUGUUCCUAAUCUUUUUAAGGACAUCAUGUGAAUCUUUGCAUUUAGCUACUGGCAAAAUCAAAUUCACUAAAAUUGGGGUUGAAAACUAGAAUGAAAAAUUAUAGACCACAGCGGGGUAAUCUUGAAAUAUCUUUCACAUGAAACUAAAAGCUUUUUAAUCCUUCUGUUAUGUGCACAUCUUUAGAAGCAUAUGCCAAACAAUAACUUAAGUCAUUUGGGAGUUUAUUACUUAAAUCUCCAGUUAUUUUGACAGCAAAUUCUAGAAAUUUCUGGCUUCUUGAUGAGCUUUGAAAAGAUAAAGGAUUUUCAUUCUGAUGUGAGAUUUAAGUACAUGUUGGUUAUUUUCUUUGACUCUACUUCAUUAUCUGAGUAGGAUGGAACAACAGAAUCUCAUGCCAGUGCUAACUGUAUCAACCCAUUAAUUAAUGAUAUGCCAAUAAUUUAUGAUGUUAGUGUGCCGAACAUAAUUGCACCUUCUUUAUGCAAGAAUAUUUUGUUUCCAAAGGUGAGAUUAUUUGAUAUAAUGCCAUUUGUGUUAGUUACAAUCCAUCGAAGAAAGGUGGUUAUUUAACUAAAUUUUUACCAUCAUAUAAUUGUCCUUGGUUAGUGAUAAUAAGUUAGAUUGGUGCCUAUAAAUGUCAUAUCUGAUAUCUGGUAUUGUAGUUUUGAGUUAUUAUGUUGAUACUAGAAUAUUUUGAGUAAAAAUUGUUACUUCAAAUUUUAACCUUGUGCUUUUAUUGUUGAAUGAAUGUGUAGAGUAAUAACUAAAAGAUGCUGCUUUACCUUUAUUUAGUAAUUAGUACGCUCGUUUAUCUUGUGGUGUAAAGAGUAUUGAUUUCAUUCAGUAUUGCUGUUAUCUUUUGUAAUGUUAUAAAUAGAUUAUGGACACUCAGUCAGGGCAUCAUUCCUGCUAUGUUGAGCUACGGUCUCCGUCUAGGACAUCUUCCACAACUGAUUCAGGCCAACCUGAGCCUGAGCGACUUUUAAGAAAAAUUAUCCAGUUGUUGCCUGACGGAGCCUGCACAAUGAAGGGAAUGCAAAGUUACAGACCUCGUUGACAUGAUUAUCUACUGAAAACAGAUUGGCAUUGUUAACCAUGUUCGUGGGUUAGACCCUUUAUGGUUCGUGUCUCCUUAAAUUGAAUAUUUCAGUGUUGGGAAAUGUUUGUGUUUGGGAUGUAACUGUAUAGUGCUUGGUACUUACCAUGGGAUAGUAGGAUGGGAAGAGUGAAGCAUUUUGUCCCGUCCAGUGGACGUGCGAGUAGUUAAAUAGUUUCUUGUAUUUAAGCCUUAUUACUUUAUUUUACCGUGCGCAUGGUGCACGUGUUAUUGUAAGGAUAUUAACUUGUCUUUGGUACUCUAGAAUCACCCCGAUUCCAUGCACAUGUCAUGAAUGAUGAAUUUCUCUUUUAAUUAAUGAAGAAAUU